AUUGAACGCUGGCGGCAUGCCUAACACAUGCAAGUCGAACGGCAGCACGGGAGCUUGCUCCUGGUGGCGAGUGGCGGACGGGUGAGUAAUGCAUAGGAAUCUGCCCAGUAGCGGGGGACAACUUGGGGAAACUCAAGCUAAUACCGCAUGCGCCCUACGGGGGAAAGCGGGGGACCUUCGGGCCUCGCACUAUUGGAUGAGCCUAUGUCAGAUUAGCUUGUUGGUGGGGUAACGGCCUACCAAGGCGACGAUCUGUAGCUGGUCUGAGAGGACGAUCAGCCACACUGGGACUGAGACACGGCCCAGACUCCUACGGGAGGCAGCAGUGGGGAAUAUUGCACAAUGGGCGAAAGCCUGAUGCAGCAAUGCCGCGUGAGCGAUGAAGGCCUUAGGGUUGUAAAGCUCUUUCAGGGGGGAAGAUAAUGACUGUACCCCCAGAAGAAGCCCGGCUAACUCCGUGCCAGCAGCCGCGGUAAAGUAGACG
rnacentral:rRNA from 1 species